UUGCUCUACAGAAAUGGAAGGAGGAAAGAGGAAAAUAAGGAACCAAUGAGAGGAUCUUCAGGGAUGGCUGAUGCAACACAUUUUUACUUCAAUACGGACAUGUGCAAACAACCAAUGCAGAUAUGUGAAUACUCCAUGUGUAUGAAUUGGGUUUUUGUCCUACCUGUAGAUGAAGUGCUCGAAGGCUCUCAGGCAGGGGUGUGGGAAUAUAACUCAGAUGGUUGUUGGACAAAUAAAGGAACUCUAGUUGGCUCAUAUCCUGAGGUUGGAACAGAAGAGACAAGGGAGAACAACAACAUAUGGGAGAAAUAGUGUUGCAGAAAAUGCCAUCUCAUUCUGUACAACGGAUGCUGAAAGUGGUUGGGAUCAGACAGCCCUGCUUUCCUCCAUGGUCUAUCUGAUGCGUUGAAAGACUAGCUGGCUGCAAUGUCCUCUCCUCUGAGAGUCCUGAGCCGAUGCAGUAUGGGCGUACCCGCCUCUCUCAAGCAGGGAGGGAUCGCCGAUGGAGGGAAAAGUGCUGCAUCUAUUCUGGUCACUUCAGACGUUCUUACCCAUAGCUCCUGGGAACCAGUACCAUCCAGCUGAGGGAGGGCUGUGACGCUGGUGCAGGAGUCUCCCUUUCAGGAACCACCACCCUAUUGGGAGAGCAGAGUCUCUCCUCUGAGGCAUUGGUAGACUCCGGCGCUGAUUUUCUUUUUCGCUGCAGGUCAGUCUUGCCCAGACACUAAAGAUUCCCCCAACAAUUCUCUGCCCUGGACGGCCAAAGUCUCGGUGACAGGAGAGUGACCUCCACCACGUCCCCGCUACGUCUUCAUGUCGGGAACCAUCAGGAGGAGAUUCCUUUCCAUUUAAUAAAUUCUCCAAUUUGUGGUGGUCUUGGGUUGUCAGUGGCUGAAUCUCCACAGUCCUGACAUUGAUUGGAUAACCGGGACAUCUCCUAACCUGGAUUAUCUCUUGGAUUUUGUCCUAUGAUCCAAUUUGAUUUUUUUUGUUCAUUCUACUGGAAUACUGUACAUUUUCUGGAGUUUAAAUUGCUCCUAACUUGAGUAAAACCCGUUCCUUGGUG